rnacentral:rRNA from 1 species
GACAGAGGUGCCGAGCGUUAGGCGGAAUCACUGGGCUUAAAGCGUGUGUAGGCGGGCGGGCAAGUACCUUGUGAAAUCCCACGGCUCAACCGUGGAACGGCUGGGUAUACUGCCUGUCUUGAGCCAACUAGGGGCGAGCGGAACAGACGGUGGAGCGGUGAAAUGCGUAGAUAUCAGGAGGAACACCGGUGGCGAAGGCGGCCUGCUGGGCAGUGGCUGACGCUGAGGCGCGACAGCGUGGGGAGCAAACAGG